rnacentral:rRNA from 1 species
AUUGAACGCUGGCGGCAGGCCUAACACAUGCAAGUCGAACGCGUGGCGGACGGGUGAGUAAUGUUUGGGAAUCUAGCUUAUGGAGGGGGAUAACUACGGGAAACUGUAGCUAAUACCGCGUACCAUAGGCUUAGACCAAGUGGGAUUAUCUAGUUGGUGAGGUAAAGGCUAACCAAGUCGACGAUCCCUAGCUGGGCUGAGAGGAUGACCAGCCACACGGGAACUGAGACACGGCCCAGACUCCUACGGGAGGCAGCAGUGGGGAAUAUUGCAUAAUGGGCGCAAGCCUGAUGCAGCCAUGCCGCGUGUAUGAAGAAGGCCUUAGGGUUGUAAAGUACUUUCAGCGGGGAGGCGUUACCCGCAGAAGAAGCACCGGCUAACUCCGUGCCAGCAGCCGCGGUAAUAC